AGUCGGUGGCUUCCAGCGCACCAGCAGGUGGGACGAGGAAUUGGACGUGGAGAUGACAUCCUGGGGCACCGUGGGCGCUGGGGAUCCACUUUUAUCGGGACAGAGAACACCCACCAUGACCCAGGCACUGCCCUAACUAAGAAUUAUGGAAUAGCUCACGUAAGCCACCUCGGUUACCUAACUGUUCCGAGCCUCAGUUUCCUCAUCUGCAAACUGGGAAUAACAAAGAUGGCCUGCCUCACAGGACGGGUGAGAACGAAGGGGGUCCGUGCCGGCCGAGCGAGGACGCGCGCCGUCCUGUGGCCACCGGCCCGCCUGCCCCCACCCUUCCGGUGUCGUCCCCCCCCCCCCCCCCCGCCGCCCCGUCGUGUUCUGGGCCGGCGCCCACCUCGCUGGCAGUGGCUGGAGGUCCAGCAUCUGUAGUCGGUGUGCCCGCCAAAGGUGGUCCUGGCGCAGGGCUCGCCGCUGGCGCCCAGCACGCCGGGACACACGUCGGCGCACUCCUCGCCCAGCUUGUUGCCCACGAUGUGGUUGGCCCCGGGGGCCGGCUGCAGCAGGCCCCAGUCAAUGGUGGACAGGUGGCAGAGCUCCUGGUUCUUCUCGACGCGCACGGCCCCCCGCAGCACGGCCCCCAGCGCCGGCAGCCCCACGUCCCGCAGGUGCGGCAUCUCGUAGACGACCAGCGCAUAGCCCAGGAAGAGGCGGGCCCCGCGGACCACCGCCAGGUUGGGGAAGAGGUCCCGCAGGCUCUCCAGGCCGUAGACACGGAAGAGGAGCAGGUAGUCCGUGACCUGCGUGAGGCGCGGGAAGCUGAGGCCGCGGAAGUCCUCGCCGGUGGCCGUGAACAUGAGCAGGAUCUGCAGGUGGCCCUCCACCACGCUGCAGUUCUCCAGCCGGCGCAGCUCCGCCACCUCCGAGCGGAUAUCCAGGCUGGGGCACACUGUGGGCACAGGCGGCACGCGGCCGUCAGUGCGGCGUGGGCUGGGCUCCCCGUCGCGCCCUGGGGGACCCUCUGGGAGCGGGACACGGCGUGGGAGCAGGGCUCCGCCGUGGCGGUGGGGCGGCCUCCUCCCUGGGCCUCACAGGCCUCAUGGCGGCUUGAAGGACGGGCACCCGACGGGUCAGCGUGGGCCAGAGUGAGCUCCUCCCUCCCCAACCUGCUUCGUUCCUGCGGUGACGGUGACGGUGAAGAGUCCUUCCCUCCACGCCCCCACCCCCAGAGCCUGUGGGCUCCACCUGUAAAUGACAGCACAUCCAAUGCUCAGUCACCGCCUCCGCUGCUGGCACCGUGCCCUUCUCCUGGAUUGACAGCAGUGGCCUCCCAGAUGGCCCCCCACCUCCGCCCGCGUCCCCUCCCGGUCUCUUCACUCUAUAGCCAAAGGGAUCGUCUCAAAACAACUGGGGUGACCUUCCUGCGCUGCUCACAACCCCCUGGCGGCCCGCAUCUGAUUAAAAGCUCAAGUCCUUAGGGGGCUUGCAAGGCCUCUGCAGCCUCUCUGACUUCAACCCCUUUGCCUCUCUUCCUCAGCCGCACUGACUUUGUUUUGCUGGUUUUUCAAACAAGCCAGCCAAGCUUCUGCUCUGAGGUCUUUGCACAUUCUGUUCCCUCUGGCUAGAGUGCUGUUCCCUGUAUGCGGUCCUUCACCUUCUUUAAGUCUCUGCUCAGAUGUCACCUCCUCAAUGAGGACUUCUCUGACCAUCCCUUUAAACACUCCCUACCCCCCUUCCUACUUAACUUUUCUCCUUACAUCUUAACGUUGGCUAA